AUGACAAUGGCGCUACCUCUAUCAACACACCACAACAACACCGUCUGUUUGCUCCGGCUUCAAUCGACCUCCGUCUCAACCAUCUCCCGGCCUCGAUUCGCCGUUUUCAAACAACUUCGUAAAUCAGUGACUGUUCAUCACCUUCAGAUUCCGUAUUCAACAUUCUCAAGAACGAGAUUAUACUAUCGUGACGGAAAAACGCGAACAUGA